AGGUACCUCCAAAGGAAGCUCCGGCUAACUCCGUGCCAGCAGCCGCGGUAAUACGGAGGGAGCGAACGUUGUUCGGAUUUACUGGGUGUAAAGGGUGCGUAGGCGGCUACGUGUGUCAGAGGUGAAAGCUCACGGCUCAACCGUGGAACUGCCUUUGAAACUGCGUGGCUUGAGUCCGAGAGAGGAUGAUGGAAUUCCUGGUGUAACGGUGAAAUGUGCAGAUAUCAGGAAGGACACCGGUGGCGAAGGCGGUCAUCUGGCUCGGUACUGACGCUCAGGCACGAAAGCUAGGGUAUCGAACGGGAUUAGAUACCCCGGUAGUCCUAGCCGUAAACGAUGUCCACUAGGUGUCGGAGGUCCUACCCCUUCGGUGCCGCAGCUAACGCAUUAAGUGGACCACCUGGGGAGUACGCUCGCAAGGGUGAAACUCAAAGGAAUUGACGGGGGCCCGCACAAGCGGUGGAACAUGUGGUUUAAUUCGAUGCAACGCGAAGAACCUUACCUGGGCUUGACAUGCAGGGGACAGGUGUAGAGAUACACCCUUCUUCGGACUCCUGUACAGGUGCUGCAUGGCUGUCGUCAGCUCGUGUCGUGAAAUGUUGGGUUAAGUCCCGCAACGAGCGCAACCCUUGUCCUUAGUUGCCAGCACGUAACGGUGGGAACUCUAGGGAGACUGCCGGUGACAAACCGGAGGAAGGUGGGGACGACGUCAAGUCAUCAUGGCCCUUACGUCCAGGGCUACACACGUGCUACAAUGGCGUGUACAGAGGGCAGCGAACCCGCGAGGGGGAGCCAAUCCCGUAAAGCACGCCUCAGUUCGGAUCGCAGUCU
rnacentral:rRNA from 1 species